CCUACGGGUGGCAGCAGUGAGGAAUAUUGGUCAAUGGUCGGGAGACUGAACCAGCCAAGCCGCGUGAGGGAUGAAGGUACAGAGUAUCGUAAACCUCUUUUGUCAGGGAACAAAGGCGGGGACGCGUCCCCGGAUGAGUGUACCUGAAGAAAAAGCAUCGGCUAACUCCGUGCCAGCAGCCGCGGUAAUACGGAGGAUGUGAGCAUUAUCCGGAUUUAUUGGGUUUAAAGGGUGCGCAGGCGGUCUGUUAAGUAAGCGGUAAAAGCCCGGGGCUCAACCCCGGCCCGCCGUUGAAACUGGCAGUCUCGAGUAGGAGAGAAGUAUGCGGAAUGCGCGGUGUAGCGGUGAAAUGCAUAGAUAUCGCGCAGAACUCCGAUUGCGAAGGCAGCAUGCCGGCUCCACACUGACGCUGAGGCACGAAAGCGUGGGUAUCGAACAGGAUUAGAUACCCUAGUAGUC
rnacentral:rRNA from 1 species